rnacentral:rRNA from 1 species
GACGAACGCUGGCGGCGUGCCUAAUACAUGCAAGUCGAACGAGUGGCGGACGGGUGAGUAAUGUCUGGGAAACUGCCUGAUGGAGGGGGAUCACUACUGGAAACGGUAGCUAAUACCGCAUACCAUCAGAUGUGCCCAGAUGGGAUUAGCUGGUUGGUGGGGUAACGGCUCAACAAGGCCACGAUCCCUACCUGGUCUGAGAGGAUGACCGGCCACACUGGAACUGAGACACGGUCCAGACUCCUACGGGAGGCCGCAGUGGGGAAUAUUGCACAAUGGGAGAAAGCCUGAUGCAGCCAUGCCGCGUGUAUGAAGAAGGCCUUCGGGUUGUAAAGUAGUUACAGCGGGGAGGCGUUACCCGCAGAAGAAGCACCGGCUAACUCCGUGCCAGCAGCCGCGGUAAUUC